GGGAAGGUGGCUCAGUGGUAGAGCGCUUGCCUUGCAUGCAUGAGGCCCAGAAGAUAGGAAAUGGGCUGGGAAGGUGGCUCAGUGGGGGAGCGCUUGCCUUGCUU
rnacentral:tRNA from 1 species